CACACAACUGCUUGUUCCUAUGCAUAAAUUUUUAACUAAUUUUUGGGAUUGGAUUUAUUCAAAUUUGAGAUGAUUUUGAUUAAAAAUUUAUGCAUGGGAACAAGCAGUUGUGCCAAU